CCUACGGGUGGCUGCAGUGGGGGAUAUUGCACAAUGGGGGGAACACUGAUGCAGCGACGCAGCGUGGAUGAAGGAGUGCUUCGGCAUGUAAAGCCGUAUCGGCGGGGAAGAAGCAAGACGGUACCUGACUAAGAAGCCGCGGCUAAUUACGUGCCAGCAGCCGAGGUAAUACGUAGGGGGCGAGCGUUAAUCGGAAUUACUGGGCGUAAGGCGCUCGUAGGCGGUAUGUCAAGUCAAGGGUGAAAUCCCCGCGCUCAACGUGGGAACUGCCGUUGAAACUGGCAAACUGGAGUGUGUGAGAGGAUAGUGGAAUUCCAGGUGUAGGAGUGAAAUCCGUAGAUAUCUGGAGGAACAUCAGUGGCGAAGGCGACUAUCUGGCACACAACUGACGCUGAGGAGCGAAAGCGUGGGUAGCAAACAGGAUUAGAUACCCGAGUAGUC
rnacentral:rRNA from 1 species